rnacentral:lncRNA from 1 species
CAUUCCCAUUUAUAUUCCAAAAUGUGCAUUUAUUUUUAUCUGUACUCCGGGCUUUCAAAUAAUAUUUUUAUUCGUGCUACAUUUAUUAUACGUUGGAAAUAUUCAUUUUUUAAAAGCCUUUAUUCCAUAUCCUUCAUAACCAAAUCCAUUGAAAAUACAACAAGCAUAAACCAGCAUAAUGUACUUUUAUUCAUCUCAAUAUUCUGCUCCGCGAUUUAAUCAUAAAUAAUUCAAGACACGAAUUAUUAAUUUCCUAAAGUACCUCAAUUCGUAUCUAAAGUAUAAAUAACCUGUUUCGUAAUUUUUAAAUAUUGCUGCAAUUCAUGGUUAACAAAAAUAUCUUGUGUAACAAUCUAUUUUGAAACUUGUCCCGUUAUAUUCGAAGUGGAAGACAUACUAAAUAAUUGAUUUGCAUUAAUCCCUCGCGUGCGUCAGACACAAUUAUUCACUGCACAAUAUCACAACAAAUAAAGAAAAUUAUCCUUUCAAUUUUGUAUUUAGCAAUCUUAGAAUAUGCAAAUUGCGAAUGCAUUUAAAUUGAAGUAUUCAAAAUUCGAACAAGAUCACAUUUGAACCCUGAGCACGUAUCUGACUCGUGAAAGUAUGACAAAUUAAAAUGACAAGGUUAAAUACUCAAAACUCGCAAAAUGAACUUUCAUUUGAACGAAUAUUCUUUCAGUGUCCUGAAACUAUACUCUUAGCCGGAUCGUCCUGGUAGAUAUUGCAACGAAUUAAUCGGUAUACCGGUUGAUUUUAGCUGCGUCAACAAUUGCAGCAACCGGAGAGACAACGCCAAGAUGAUACGAGCGUGCACUUUGCUUCUUUCCAGCAAAGCUUCCCCUUCAACCCCCUCGAAGACACUUCGCGACCUCUCUGCCCCUUUUCUCUAUCACUUAUAUUCCUUUACUCCUGCUUCGAAUUCUACUUCUUCUUCUUCCACGAAUUGAUAACAGUCGUUCGACUCGAUGUUAUUCGAUCACCUCGUUUUGCAAUCACUAUGUCACUGCCAUUGUCUCCGAUGCCAUUACAGGGAAUCUACAGAGAGGCGUCUUCGAACUUGCAACCACCAGAUAACUGUUUCUCGAUAUACAGACACGAAAUGAACUACGAAUAUGACUUCCACGAUUCUGUUCGUGGAUUAAGCUGUUUGCUUUGAAUACGAGGUAAGUUCUCUUGGGAUACUGCUGUGUGUGAAGAGAUUUGACAAUAGAAGUCGAGGAUUCUGAUACUUCAUUUCCGAAUUUUCAUUAAUAUACUCUGUAAACUUCUAAGAGAAAGAUGUCCAAAGCUAACAUAAAACUAGCGUUGAAUACAGAAACAUCUCCACAUAAUAAUUUAAAGUAUAACGCAAGAAUUUGUGUCAAGAGUAACAUGAAAAGUAACAAGAAGUUUGUCCACAAAUAUGACUAAAUAAUGAAACUAAUGCAGAACAUAGUUUUAUACGGUGUCUCAAGAAGCGAACAAAUAUUUCUUCUCCACAAAAAUGGUUGAGCCGCAGCUGCAUAGGUGUACUUAUGUUAAUCGUUAACAUUUCGCUCUAACCAAACAAUAAAGAUCAAACAUUUCUUAA